UACGAAGGGGGCUAGCGUUGCUCGGAAUUACUGGGCGUAAAGCGCCCGUAGGCGGCUUCUUAAGUCGGUGGUGAAAUCCUGGAGCUCAACUCCAGAACUGCCUUCGAUACUGGGAAGCUCGAGUCCGGGAGAGGUGAGUGGAACUGCGAGUGUAGAGGUGAAAUUCGUAGAUAUUCGCAAGAACACCAGUGGCGAAGGCGGCUCACGGGCCCGGUACUGACGCUGAGGUGCGAAAGCGUGGGGAGCAAACAGG
rnacentral:rRNA from 1 species